rnacentral:rRNA from 1 species
GACGAACGCUGGCGGCGUGCUUAACACAUGCAAGUCGUACGGUAAGGCCCUUUCGGGGGUACACGAGUGGCGAACGGGUGAGUAACACGUGAGUAACCUGCCCACAACUUUGGGAUAACGCUAGGAAACUGGUGCUAAUACUGGAUAUGUGCCCCUGCUGCAUGGUGGGGGUUGGAAAGCUCCGGCGGUUGUGGAUGGACUCGCGGCCUAUCAGCUUGUUGGUGGGGUAGUGGCCUACCAAGGCGGCGACGGGUAGCCGGCCUGAGAGGGUGACCGGCCACAUUGGGACUGAGAUACGGCCCAGACUCCUAUGGGAGGCAGCAGUGGGGAAUAUUGCACAAUGGGCGCAAGCCUGAUGCAGCAACGCCGCGUGCGGGAUGACGGCCUUCGGGUUGUAAACCGCUUUCAGCAGGGACGAAGCUUUUUGUGACGGUACCUGCAGAAGAAGCACCGGCUAACUACGUG